rnacentral:rRNA from 1 species
ACUCCUACGGGAGGCAGCAGUGGGGAAUAUUGGACAAUGGGGGGAACCCUGAUCCAGCCAUGCCGCGUGUGUGAAGAAGGCCUUAUGGUUGUAAAGCACUUUAAGCGAGGAGGAGGCUCUUUUGGUUAAUACCCAAGAUGAGUGGACGUUACUCGCAGAAUAAGCACCGGCUAACUCUGUGCCAGCAGCCGCGGUAAUACAGAGGGUGCGAGCGUUAAUCGGAUUUACUGGGCGUAAAGCGUGCGUAGGCGGCUUUUUAAGUCGGAUGUGAAAUCCCCGAGCUUAACUUGGGAAUUGCAUUCGAUACUGGGGAGCUAGAGUAUGGGAGAGGAUGGUAGAAUUCCAGGUGUAGCGGUGAAAUGCGUAGAGAUCUGGAGGAAUACCGAUGGCGAAGGCAGCCAUCUGGCCUAAUACUGACGCUGAGGUACGAAAGCAUGGGGAGCAAACAGGAUUAGAUACCCUGGUAGCUA